rnacentral:lncRNA from 1 species
GACUCCAAUUGGCUCAACACCAACAAUCACCAAAGCCAUCUCUUCUCUUACAUGCUCCAUUUGAUGUGUGAGUUUUACUUCCUGCAUUCUCAAACUUUAUGUUUGAAUGUCGCAUUUAAGUGGUCUUGGGGUUAGAAUUCCAAUUAAUGAACAAAACGAAUAAAUAAAAUUAAAAUAUGGAUUGGUAAAGUGGCAGUCUGAUAACUAUUUUGAAUAGACCAAUUACUGGUCAUUUGGGCUGAGAGAGGAGAGCACAAAAGGGAAAGCAUUAUGCAAAUAUGUUUAGCAGCAAACCGCUAAUUGUUGCUGCGACAUAUGAAUCAUAUCUAGCCUUGUACAUAGUAUGACAUGCAUCAUUUCCCUUUUCGCUUUCCGUCCAUUUUACCUCUAAUGCUUUUAUUUUUCUU